GAACAAAUAUCCAAGAUAGGAUGCAGAGUUCAAGUUCAAGUUAGAAGAGCCUCAUGUGAAUGAUAAGUUGCAUGUGGAAGUUUGUAGUGCUUCAUCCAAGAUUGGGCUAUUGCAUCCUAAGUUUGGUGUGAACCUGGUUGCUAGAGCUGAAAAGUCACAAUGGGACCCCAAGGUGGGAUUUGACUUAAAAAAGUCAAACUUGGUACUUCAAAGGGUUUUAACAGAUAGAUUUUUAAGAAUAAUUGACUUUGAACUAAUUGUCAUCAAUAAUGAGAGUGGAGGGUGUACCAAU